ACGCUGUUGAACAGACUGAAGGGCGGCGAAAAAGGCACGGCGAGCCUCGGCCCCUUCGGGAUAUCAGGAUAUUCGC
rnacentral:sRNA from 1 species